rnacentral:rRNA from 1 species
UUUAUGGAGAGUUUGAUCCUGGCUCAGGAUGAACGCUGGCGGCGUGCCUAAUACAUGCAAGUCGAGCGAACAGAUGAGGAGCUUGCUCCUCUGACGUUAGCGGCGGACGGGUGAGUAACACGUGGAUAACCUACCUAUAAGACUGGGAUAACUUCGGGAAACCGGAGCUAAUACCGGAUAAUAUAUUGAACCGCAU